ensembl:snRNA U4 U4 spliceosomal RNA
AGCUUUACGCAGUGGCAGUAUCAUAGCCAAUGAGGUUUAUCCAAGGCGCGAUUAUUGCUAAUUGAAAAAUUCAUGUGUUGGGACUUGGUUGUACCGUAAAGAUGAUCAGUAAACCUUAAUUCUUUCAUGCUGUCCCAGAG